rnacentral:rRNA from 1 species
UACAGAGGUCUCGAGCGUUGUUCGGAUUCAUUGGGCGUAAAGGGUGCGUAGGUGGUAUGGUAAGUCGGAUGUGAAAUCCCGGGGCUCAACCCCGGAACUGCAUUCGAUACUGCCGUGCUUGAGUACUGGAGAGGAGAUCGGAAUUUACGGUGUAGCAGUGAAAUGCGUAGAUAUCGUAAGGAAGACCAGUGGCGGAAGGCGGAUCUCUGGACAGUUACUGACACUGAGGCACGGAAGGCCAGGGGAGCAAACGGG